UACGUAGGGGGCAAGCGUUGUCCGGAUUUAUUGGGCGUAAAGAGCGUGUAGGCGGCUGGGUAGGUCCGCUGUGAAAACUCGAGGCUUAACCUCGAGACGCCGAUGGAAACCAUCUGGCUAGAGUCCGGAAGAGGAGAGUGGAAUUCCCGGUGUAGCGGUGAAAUGCGCAGAUAUCGGGAAGAACACCCGUGGCUAAGGCGGCUCUCUAGUACGGUACUGACGCUGAGACGCGAAAGCGUGGGGAGGCGAACGAGG
rnacentral:rRNA from 1 species